rnacentral:rRNA from 1 species
UACGUAGGGGGCAAGCGUUGUCCGGAAUCAUUGGGCGUAAAGAGCGCGUAGGCGGCCCAGUAAGUCCGCUCUGAAAGUCAGGGGCUCAACCCCUGAAUGCGGGUGGAUACUGCUGGGCUAGAGUCCGGAAGAGGCGAGUGGAAUUCCUGGUGUAGCGGUGAAAUGCGCAGAUAUCAGGAGGAACACCGGUGGCGAAGGCGGAUCUCUGGGCCUUACCUGACGCUCAGGUGCGAAAGCUAGGGGAGCGAACAGG